rnacentral:rRNA from 1 species
AUUGAACGCUGGCGGCAUGCCUUACACAUGCAAGUCGAACGGCAGCACGGGAGCAAUCCUGGUGGCGAGUGGCGAACGGGUGAGUAAAGUAUCGGAACGUGCCCAGUCGUGGGGGAUAACGUAGCGAAAGUUACGCUAAUACCGCAUACGAUCUAUGGAUGAAAGCGGGGGAUCGCAAGACCUCGCGCGAUUGGAGCGGCCGAUAUCAGAUUAGGUAGUUGGUGGGGUAAAGGCCCACCAAGCCGACGAUCUGUAGCUGGUCUGAGAGGACGACCAGCCACACUGGGACUGAGACACGGCCCAGACUCCUACGGGAGGCAGCAGUGGGGAAUUUCGGACAAUGGGCGAAAGCCUGAUCCAGCCAUGCCGCGUGCAGGAUGAAGGCCUUCGGGUUGUAAACUGCGUUUGUCAGGGAAGAAACGGCUGGGGCUAAUAUCCCCGGCUAAUGACGGUACCUGAAGAAUAAGCACCGGCUAACUACGUGCCAGCCGCCGCGGUAA